rnacentral:rRNA from 1 species
GACGAACGCUGGCGGCGUGCCUAAUACAUGCAAGUUGAGCGCUGAAGGUUGGUACUUGUCCCAACUGGAUGAGCAGCGAACGGGUGAGUAACGCGUGGGGAAUCUGCCUUUGAGCGGGGGACAACAUUUGGAAACGAAUGCUAAUACCGCAUAAAAACUUUAAACACAAGUUUUAAGUUUGAAAGAUGCAAUUGCAUCACUCAAAGAUGAUCCCACGUUGUAUUAGCUAGUUGGUGAGGUAAAGGCUCACCAAGGCGAUGAUACAUAGCCGACCUGAGAGGGUGAUCGGCCACAUUGGGACUGAGACACGGCCCAAACGCCUACGGGAGGCAGCAGUAGGGAAUCUUCGGCAAUGGACGAAAGUCUGACCGAGCAACGCCGCGUGAGUGAAGAAGGGUUUCGGAUCGUAAAACUCUGUUGGUAGAGAAGAACGUUGGUGAGAGUGGAAAGCUCAUCAAGUGACGGUAACUACCCAGAAAGGGACGGCUAACUACGUG